ensembl:lncRNA
UGCUGACUUAUUCAGAUGGCAGAUUUGUACGAUAUAGUACAUAACUGGCAUUGCCUCCCCUAUCCCAGGUCAAGGGCAAAGAGAGUCAAUUAUUUUAUUACCAGUCAAAACUGUUAAUUCAGCUCAGAACAUGCUGAUUAGAAGUCUUUAGUCAGUGGGAAGGUCUUCUGUGAUCUGGGACAUCUAUGUACUAUCUUACCGCAAGACCAUAUGUUUCUUUCAUCUGUGCUUAUCCUAAAAAGCAAUUUUUGUACUCCUGGUGGGCAUAUGUGUGAAUUCUGUGGAAUUGGUGUGCACAAUGACAGCAGUUUUGUACAUUCACUUCUUUGCUGUUGAAUCACAGAUUUCCCUCUUUGCCUGAGAAAACAGUCAGUUCUACAGUUGACAGCCAAUUUGAAAGAAUGAAUUUGAUUUACCUAGACAUUGGAAUCUAACUAAAAGAGCACUUGCAAUACACAGCUUUCAUUCUAGCAGUGGUGACAUCACAGCCUCUGAGGCACUCACCUUUCAGGUCAGAGAUUUUCAUCAUGCCCUCUUCAGUAUGCAUCCAAAUUGUCAGUGAAGGAUGAAGAGAAGUGGGUUUGGAAGAACUGUUGAAGGAAUAGGCUGACAUGCAACAAAGGACGGAUUUCAAUUUCCUUCUCAAUGAAAUUAAAAAAUCAGGCUGCCAUCACUUCAUUUUGGUUUGGAUGCUGCUGCUGCCUGUUUCUAAUGGUUAAAUUACCUAUUUAGUGCAGUAGUGAGGAAUUAUGAAACUGGAUUCACUGAAGGAAGUUGUUCACUCUGGUCCUUUCUCCUGUCUCUUGAUUUUUGCUUUCUAAGUCUGUCUUCACCUGAACUGCUACAUUCUGUGGUGUUUAUAUUCCUCCCUGGGACCAUAUCAGAAUGACUGCUUCCUUGAUGCAAGGCUCUUAAUAAGAACUCCAGAGAAAUCUGUCUCCAUCUGUUACUGCUGAAAAAUUACAGCGUCUUGCCCAGCACUCUUCCUAAAGAGAAUGCUUUUCUUUGAUUACAUUUUUUCGAAAUACUUGCUGCCUAUUUUACCUGAAGAAUGACAUGUCUUUAUUCACAUAGCAUUGCAACUCUCAACUCUGUCUUUCUGAAAUACCCUAAGAUGUAUCAGUAAGAAGAAUUAUUCCCUACUUUGGCUUUCACUGGGAGAAGGAAUUUUCUAACAUUUUGGCUCCAUGUGCAGAAGUUUUCAAACUCUGGGAUAUUUUCUGUGAAUCCCUGAUCUAUAAUCUAUCUAAUAAUGUCCUUGGAGUUGGUUGCGUGAGGUUUUAUUGUUAACAACUUCAUGCUCACUAAUAUGUAGGUUAGGAUAACAUUAAAGAAAUGAGGGUAAAGAAAUGGGCUUCUUUAUUUUGGUCCACCUAAAACCAGGGCUUGAGUGUUACCAAAAAAUAGUAUCUGAGAAUAGCACAUAAAACAGCUGCAUACAGUGUAAGAAUAGAAGGUAGGGCUGGAAGCCCGCAUUUGUGAUUUACUAGCAAUUGACCUAAGGCAAGUUGGUAACUUCUAAGCACCUUGCCUCAUCUAAUGAGUGGAGUAUUGUCAGCCAUGUCACAAGAUGUGUGGUGGUUCUAAAUGAGACAGCCUAAAGUUCCCCCCAUUGCGCCACAUCACAGGCUCCCAGCAAAUAUUAACUCCCUUUCUCCUUCCUCUUUCAUGUUUCAGUUGAGAAAAAUAUGAGCUUAGGGCUUAGAAGAUCAAUGUUCAGUUGAGUAGGAAUAGAACUGAGCAUUUUCAUGUUGUGGUAGAUCACUGAAAAUUCAUCCUCAUGCCACGUUCUGUUUGGAAAGCGAUGUACAUUUCCGUUUCUAAAUACCAUCCAUCAGUGCAUCCUUUCUUGUUUCUAAAUAAAUCGAUCUUAAAUCUCCCUUUAAAUAGUAAUAAGAUAUGUGACUGACACAAAUCAUAAAUCUGGAUAAAGGUUUAAAGGAUAAGUUAAUCAGGCUUGAGAUUACUAGAAGGGAGAAUAAAAAACAUUGUAAAUAAAUUGCUCUGAAAUAAAGUGAUUGACUGUACACCACAGUUGGAAAAUCGAGGAAAAGAAAAUUUAGCUUUGUCUUCUUAUGCUUUCUUUCCCUUCCAAAUGCAUUGCUUUCUUUCUAUGUUUCCUCUACCAGACUUGCCACAUAAGGUGAGACAUACAAAAUACUAUAAGCUUGGAAAGGUAAAUCCUGUCAGGUAGCGUGUUUCACUCUUCUCUUUGGGUAUUACAGUCCAGAGCUUCACUACUUUUGAGCAUGAACCAUUCAAUCAACUCAUCUCAUACUACUUAGCCUGGGAAGAAUUAGCUGGAAAAUCAUACUAAUACUUCUAGUUUUAGGGGAAAAAACUAAUGUAGAGAAUUGAUAGAUGGGUUUGGCAAUGCAGUUGUCAGAGAAGGGGAUUUGAGUGAGGGCAAUAAUUUUUUCCCCAUGUUACAGGCAAAUUCACCAGCCUUGGAGAGAUUAAGUAACUUGACUGAAGCCACAAAACUAGUAGGAGACAAAACCAGGGUUUUAACCUGGUCUGUCUGGUUUCAAUGAAAAGUAGUUUGAACGUAUUGAGAACCCAUUAUGUACCAGUCACUAUGCUCAGAGGUUUACCCGUGUUAUGUAGACCCCUCACGACAGUUCUGCAUGGGAGGUAUUAUUAUCCCCCUUUUUAUAAUUAAAAAAACUGUGACCCACCUAUGGUCCCUAACCUAGUUACAAUGAAGACCUAAAUUAAAAUUCAAAUCUGUUGGCUGCAAAAUCCUACAUUUUCAUCCAUUGUACUAUAUUGCUGCCUAAGAACUAACUGUAUUAUAUUCUAGAAAUAUUAGCAGCUCAAUAAUUAUUGAUUAGCUCAUCUCUCAAUGGCUUCAAUAUUUCAAUUUAUUGUCUUGAUGUUUCCAUCUUGAAUUUAUACUGAGCUGCUCUUUGUAAAAGGGGUAAUUAAUGAUUUAGUUGUGACUAACUAAUGUAGAAGUCCUGUCUUUAUACCAAAAUAAGAUGAAAUAAUGAAGAAAGCAACAUAGCCGUUCAAGAUUUUUACUAACGAAUGUUGAAUAUGACACAAUCUAUGCAAAUGCAACCAUCAGCCACAUGUUCUUUAUGCAGAUAGCUUAUAGAAAAGGAGUAGGCUGUCUGAGAUAAAAGGCAGAGAAAUAGACAUGUACACCAUCGAUAUAGAAUGAAAGUAAGUGAAAAAAAUUCAAAUUUUAAGGUUUAAUUUCUCUUAUUCAGCUCUCUGGCCUACUACUUCCAGAUAGCUUAUUUAGAAAAAAGUAUGACUUACUAAGACAAAAACAUUAAAAGAAUAUGUAACAUAGACAAAAUUUCUCACAAUUUAAUGAUGUGUAGCACUACAUAGUGACAUGGUUAAUUUCAAAGUAAUCAAUCCAUACGCUGGGUGAUUUUAAAUCCUGAACCAGGAGGAUAAAGACUUGAACUUCCUAUGAAAAUCAAUAAUGUUCCACAAAUACUUUAACUAUAAUUCUAUUGCUAACACUAAAAAUAUGAAAUAAGUGUUAUUAGCAGUGGCACAUUGGUUUACCACUAUAUAGUAGGGCCGGGAUGACGCUCUGCUUGGUAGUCAAAGGAUUCCAUUUGUCUAGGACUAUUUUAAAGAUUUUAUUUUUCCUUUUUCUCCCAAAGCCCCCGUACAUAGUUGUGUAUUUUUAGUUGUGGGUCCUUCUAGUUGUGGCAUGUAGGAUGCCGCUUCAGUAUGGCCUGAUGGCCGGUGCCACGUCCGUGCCCAGGAUUCAAACUGGUGAAACCCCAGGCCGCCGAAGCAGAGCAUGCGAGCUUAACCACUUGGCCAUGGGGCCGGCCUCCUAGGACUAUUUUAUUAUCCAAUAAACAUAUAGAAAUAAUUUCCUCUUGGAAAACACUAUUUAAUGAGUUUGUGUUAAUAAAUUUUAAAGUAAGCAAUUUUUCCUCCAUUGUGUGUUUAUUAUUCCCCUUUCACCAAAACUUUGGUCACUAACUGAAUUAUUACAGCAUUUUUUAUAAGAUCAUUAUUCUAAUAUAUCUUUAAACAGGAUAUUUUAAUAUAAAUUUUAGAAUAAGAACAAUUGUUUUAGGGGGCCGACCUGGUGGCGUAGUGGUUAAGUUUGCACGUUCCACUUCGGCCACCCGGGGUUUGCCAGUUCGGAUCCUAGAUGCGGAACUACACACAGCUCAUCAAGCCAUGCUCUGGGGCAUCCCACACAGGGGAACCAGAUGCACUUACAACUAGGAUAUACAACUAUGUACUGGGGUUUUGGGGAGAGACGGAAAAAAAAGUAUGGAGAUCUCUUGGUUUAAAAAAAAGAGAACAAUUGUUUUAUGCUAUGAAAUUUGCAUACUUUCUGCUAAGGUAAGGGGUAACUUGAUUAAGUUAAAAAGGAUUUUGAGUUCACUUCAUACAACCCCUCAUUUUAUAUAUUAGGGCUCAGAUUUAAAUACAAUUUUUAUAAUUUUUCCUGCUUUUUCCCAGAAGCCCAAACUUUACCUCUGGAAGACAAAAUAAAUUGAUGUUUAGCAAUAUACGCUAAUGUUUUUGCUUUCAUAGUAAAUAUUAAGAUGGUAGGGGAAUAAACAUAUGGCCACACCCAGAGUCUGAAUUAAUGUCUUCUCCACAGGCGUAAACCAGACUUGACCUCGUAUACUAAGAAUAAAUAGCUACCUUCCUGGUAACUGUCAGUUAAGUUCCUCAUAUUUUCUACAGUGUUUGAGAGUUUCAAAAGCACUUUCCCACGUCGUGUUUUAAAAAUCUCAUCUUAUUCUCAAAACAAACCAGUGAGGUAAGAAUUAUCAUCUUUGUUUCACAGAUGAAGGAAUUGAAAUCCACACAAUACACAUUUUGUCCCCAUUCUGACAGUUAACAAAGUGGAUUGAAUUUUCACCUUUGAUCUACUCUUCAGUUACCCUCCUUUUUUCUCUAAUAAUAUUUAACAGGAGAAAGUCCCAGCAUAGGUUGGAAUAGGCAAGCAGACUAGUUGCAACCUCCAUCUAAGGCUAAAACUCUAAUUUUAGACAACAGGAAAACCACACAGAGACCAUUGCUUACAGUUUGCAACUCACAAUAUCCUAAUAACAUUAAUAUAAUCAAUCUGAUGUAAAACCUCAAAAAAACCUCAAAAUAAUUUUUAUGCCAAAAAAUGUACGUAGCUCAACCAAAUAAAAUAACAGCUCAAUCCCAAUCAGAACUUGACAGAAAAUAGAAUUGAAAAGCAGACAGAUUCCUACAAGGGGCAUCAGGACACAGUGCUACAUGGCUGCAGAGUUUUAAAAAUUGUAGUCACCGUGCUGAUCAUUAGGCAUUUACUGUAUCUUUCACAUAAACAUAAUAUUUCAUUGGUUCUUGAUUACAAGGUGCAGCAUAAAACAAGAAUUAUGAGUCCAGGUUUUAAGCUUUGGACAAUUUAUUUAACUGCUCUAAGACUCAAUCUAAAUUUGCUCCUCUAUAAAGUUGGGACAAUGAGCGCAGGAGCGGGCUUUGGUGAAAAUUAAAUGUAUAGAAUCUUCAUGUUUUUAAUGUACGUAUUGUAUGUAAAGUACUUGGCACAAUCUUGAACAAAAUAAAACCUCAAUGAAUCUUGAGUGGUGGAAGUGAGAGUAUUACAGUAUGAGUAGUAGAAAUAAUAACGACAGUUAUGAAAGCUACUUUCUCUUGGGUCCUGAUGGAGCUGGAUAUUGAUGGUUCUGCUGGGGUCAGAAGCAACUACCUGGCUACUAUCUUCUAAACUUUCCCACUGUCACUUGAAUCCUUAGGCCCUUUGGCCAAUCUCUUGUUAGAAACUAGAAUACAUUGGGGCCGGCUCAGUGGCACAGCAGUUAGGCGCCCACCUUCCACUUCGG